AUUGAACGCUGGCGGCAGGCCUAACACAUGCAAGUAGAGCGGAGCGGCGGACGGGUGAGUAAUGCCUAGGAAUCUGCAUGGUAGUGGGGGCUAACGUCCGGAAACGGGGGCUAAUACCGCAUACUAUCAGAUGAGCCUAGUUCGGAUUAGCUAGUUGGGGGGGUAAAGGCCUCCAAAGGCGACGAUCCGUAAAGGGUCUGAGAGGAUGAUCAGUCACACUGGAACUGAGACACGGUCCAGACUCCUACUGUAGGCAGCAGUGGGGAAUAUUGGACAAUGGGCGAAAUCCUGAUCCAGCCAUGCCGCGUGUGUGAAGAAGGUCUUCGGAUUGUAAAGCACUGUAAGUUGUGAGGCGUUACCAACAGAAUAAGCACCGGCUAACUUCGUGCCAGCAGCCGCGGUAAUUC
rnacentral:rRNA from 1 species